CAGGGAGACAACAAAAUGUUUAAUAUUAUUAUUUUGUCACCUUAGGUCGAUCGGUAUCUCACGUUCUUAAUUUAUUAAGAAUUUCAUUUCCUAAGUUUUUCUAGGUCACACCCAUUAUUUUUCCUGGGCCAUUAGCUCAGGUGGUUAGAGCGCACCCCUGAUAAGGGUGAGGUCCCUGGUUCAAGUCCAGGAUGGCCCAUAUCUCUAUGUUGGGGGUAUAGCUCAGUUGGUAGAGCGCCUGCUUUGCAAGCAGGAUGUCAGCGGUUCGAGUCCGCUUACCUCCACUGAUUACCACCUCUUCCAUAAUUUGAAGAAAGGAAAUUUUUUGAGUUGUGAUCAAAUUCUGAACGAAUCUAGCUUCCUAAUGAAUCUAUUAAGAUGCUGGACUCAUUGAAUUAAUUUUCAUUGUUUUCAGAGAACCUUGACAACUGCAUAGAUUAUUUUUAAAGACAAUAAGCAUCUUUAAUGAUGCAGAUUUAUUAUUUGUGCGAAUGCAUUAAUAACAAUUCUAUUAAGCUGAUGCUUCAAUUUAAUGAAGUUAUU
rnacentral:tRNA from 1 species